rnacentral:tRNA from 1 species
AAGGGUAUAGCUCAGGGCGAGAGUGUGUGCUAGCAUGCAUAAGAUCCUGGGUUCAAUUCCCAAUACCUCCA